rnacentral:rRNA from 1 species
CUUCGGAGGUAACGAGCGGCGAAUCGGUGAGUAAGGGAUGNGCAAUCUGCCCUUCACAUCGGAAUAACCUCGGGAAACCGAUUUCAUACCGGAUACAACAAUCGAAGGCAUCUUCUGGUGGUGGAAAGUUCCGGCGGUGGGGGAUGAGCUCGCGGCCUAUCAGCUUGUUGGUGGGGUAACGGCCUACCAAGGCGACGACGGGUAGCCGGCCUGAGAGGGUGACCGGCCACACUGGGACUGAGACACGGCCCAGACUCCUACGGGAGGCAGCAGUGGG